rnacentral:misc_RNA from 1 species
GUGAAUCAUCGAAUUUUUGAACGCAAAUUGCACUCCCUGGUAUUCCGGAGAGUAUGCCUGUUUGAGGGUCAGUUUAAAUAAAAUUCGGUGUGGUUGCUGUUUUUCGUGGUGACGCACCGGAUUUGGGUCGUCUUGUCUUAGGUUAAGUGACUUAAAUUUUGCAUGAUUUUUUUUGAACGUAUUUCAAUGAUUUUAUGUAUGUUUUCGAUAUCGAAUACUAGCUGUGGUUAUCCUCACGUUUCGUGUCUAUAAUUUUUCAUCA